rnacentral:rRNA from 1 species
GAUGAACGCUGGCGGCGUGCCUAAUACAUGCAAGUCGAACGCUUCACAUAUGUGAAGAGUGGCGAACGGGUGAGUAAUACAUAAGUAACCUGGCCUUUACAGGGGGAUAACUAUUGGAAACGAUAGCUAAGACCGCAUAGGUGUGCAGAUCGCAUGAAGUGCACAUGAAAUAUGCUACGGCAUAGGUAGAGGAUGGACUUAUGGCGCAUUAGCUAGUUGGAGGGGUAACGGCCCACCAAGGCGACGAUGCGUAGCCGACCUGAGAGGGUGACCGGCCACACUGGGACUGAGACACGGCCCAGAUUCCUACGGGAGGCAGCAGUAGGGAAUUUUCGGCAAUGGGGGAAACCCUGACCGAGCAACGCCGCGUGAAGGAAGAAGUAAUUCGUUAUGUAAACUUCUGUCAUAGAGGAAGAACGGUGCGUGUAGGGAAUGACAUGCAAGUGACGGUACUCUAUAAGAAAACCACGGCUAACUACGUGCCAGCCGCCGCCGUAA